AAUCCGAGAAUUUCACCUCCAACACCGUAAUACGAAUGCCCCCGUCUGUCCCUCUUAAUCAUUACCUCGAGUUCCGAAAACCAACAAAAUAGAACCGAGGUCCUAUUCCAUUAUUCCAUGCACCAUUAUUCAGGCGAAGCGCCUGCUUUGAACACUCUAAUUUUUUCAAAGUAAACGUUCCGGCCACCCGAGACACUCAAUGAAGAGCACCAAGGGAAAACCGGCGGGUAGGUCCGGACGGGCAGUAAGCACCGCGAAGUGAACCGCGAGCCGGGACCUGAGAUCCAACUACGAGCUUUUUAACUGCAACAACUUUAAUAUACGCUAUUGGAGCUGGAAUUA
rnacentral:misc_RNA from 1 species